UCUCCACGCCUCUCAAACACGGCGUCAUCUUCCUGUUCAACGGGGCCGAGGAGACCAUCCUGCAGGCCAGUCACGGCUUCAUAACCCAGCAUCCCUGGGCUCAGCAGGUGCGAGCGUUUGUGAACCUGGAGGCGGCAGGAGCGGGAGGGAAAGAGCUGGUGUUUCAGACAGGUCCGGAGAACCCGUGGCUGGUCCAGGCUUACGCCCGAGCCGCAGUACACCCGUUUGCCACAGUGGUUGGUCAGGAGAUUUUUCAGAGCAGACUCAUUCCUUCAGACACAGACUUCCGCAUCUUCAGGGACUUUGGGAAUAUUCCUGGAAUUGAUCUUGCGUUCAUAGAGAACGGUUUCAUCUAUCACACUAAAUAUGACACUCCAGGGCGAAUCCACACCGACUCCAUCCAGAGAGCA